ensembl:lncRNA
GCAAAGUAAGAAGUAAGAAAAUAAGCUGCUCGAUGAUGAUUAUUGCUGCACUUCAAAACAGAAGAUGAAGACUCGAGUUGAAAUUCAGUCUGUGGAUCACCACGUAACAGUGAUGGAGAAUUUACCCAUAGAUUUCAGAAACAGCGGUCAGAUUGUUGAUGUGAGAUGUGAUGAGAAGCAGAAAGCCAUCACAGAAAGUUUUGCAGAAUUAUUCCAGUGAUUUUAUCUUUUCUCUAAAACCUUCUUCCUUCUGCAGCGUUGUGAGGUUCCUCCCUUGGUGUCGUUGCUCAUCAGCAGACUUCCAGCUGAGUGGAGGCUUUGAGGAUAAGGGAUCUUACUCAAGCGCUGGAAUUUCAACUCUAGACCUUCCAAUCAGUAGCCGAGCGUCUUAACCACAGAUCUCCCGCUGCCUCAUCCUGAAUACUGCAGUCUGCUAGUGAAUGGAGUCUGAAUCUGGGUUCUUCUCGGUAGUGGCUCUGUGAUGAUGGAACAAACGGUGGGAAAGUGAUUAUUUUUCUUCUCCAUGUCCUCAACCGCAGCGCGUGAUUAGGUUAUGGGCCUAAAAUGAUGCCAGACUGGUUUCUUUUUAAUGCAAGAGACCCAUAAAAGUGUCUCAUUAAGUUCAAGUCAGCACCGAUUUCCUGUCUGAGCUGAAAGUAAACGAGCUGCCAGCACACUCUGAAUGCUAACUUCCUCUCAAUGUGUUAUAGUUAUGAUUACAUGUCUGCGUUUUAACAUUUUAACUGCCAUGUGCCCAUAAAACCUUCACACGUUACCAACAUGCAGAGAAAACAUGUAUAUAAAUGGGUAAUAAACAUCAGAAAUCGGCUAAAUAUUAAUUAGCAUUAUUUUAAACAGCUUAACGAUUAACUGGCAUUGUUGUAAAUAAUGUAUAUACUGUAAAAUAUACAAUCUUUUUACGUUGAAGAGGCUAAUACAUAUACUAGCAUUACAGCAAACAGGAGAACACAAACUAGCAUAAACAUAAAACAGGCUAACACACAGAAAAGCAUCAACUAAACUUAACUAAUAUUAUAAUAAACUAACAAAGUUGCAUAACAGUAAAUGGGCUAAUACAAAGUAUAAUUACCUCCCUGCUGAAAAAAAAAUCCAAUUGAAACCAUUACAGAAAUUCUAAUGGUUUUAAUGGAAACUAUAAUGGUCCUUGCGUGUCUCUACUGGUAAUGUGUUGGGUUCUCUUGGUGGCAUGUUUAUAUCUAGUGGAAACCAAUACAAACCAUUAAAUCCUAAU